GAUGAACGCUGGCGGCGUGCCUGAUACAUGCAAGUCGAGCGAACAGACGAGGAGCUUGCUCCUCUGACGUUAGCGGCGGACGGGUGAGUAACACGUGGAUAACCUACCUAUAAGACUGGGAUAACUUCGGGAAACCGGAGCUAAUACCGGAUAAUAUAUUGAACCGCAUGGUUCAAUAGUGAAAGACGGUUUUGCUGUCACUUAUAGAUGGAUCCGCGCCGCAUUAGCUAGUUGGUAAGGUAACGGCUUACCAAGGCAACGAUGCGUAGCCGACCUGAGAGGGUGAUCGGCCACACUGGAACUGAGACACGGUCCAGACUCCUACGGGAGGCAGCAGUAGGGAAUCUUCCGCAAAGGGCGAAAGCCUGACGGAGCAACGCCGCGUGAGUGAUGAAGGUCUUCGGAUCGUAAAACUCUGUUAUUAGGGAAGAACAAAUGUGUAAGUAACUAUGCACGUCUUGACGGUACCUAAUCAGAAGGCCACGGCUAACUACGUG
rnacentral:rRNA from 1 species